CAAUAGCGUAUAUUAAAGUUGUUGCGGUUAAAAAGCUCGUAGUUGGAUUUCUGUUGGGAACGACCGGUCCGCCCAUUGGGUGUGUAUCUGGCUUGUUCUCGGCAUCUUCUUGGUGAACGUUGCUGCACUUGACUGUGUGGAGCGCUACCCAGGACUUUUACUUUGAGGAAAUUAGAGUGUUUCAAGCAGGCAUAUGCCUUGAAUACAUUAGCAUGGAAUAAUAAGAUAGGACCUCGGUUCUAUUUUGUUGGUUUCUAGAGCUGAGGUAAUGAUUAAUAGGGAUAGUUGGGGGCAUUCGUAUUUAACUGUCAGAGGUGAAAUUCUCGGAUUUGUUAAAGACGGACUACUGCGAAAGCAUUUGCCAAGGAUGUUUUCAUUGA
rnacentral:rRNA from 1 species